rnacentral:rRNA from 1 species
CAGCCGUAAACUAUGCGCGUUAGGUGUAUCGGUGACCACGAGUUACCGAGGUGCCGAAGGGAAACCGUGAAACGUGCCGCCUGGGAAGUACGGUCGCAAGGCUGAAACUUAAAGGAAUUGGCGGGGGAGCACCACAACAGGUGGAGCCUGCGGUUUAAUUGGACUCAACGCCGGGAAGCUCACCGGAUAGGACAGCAGAAUGAUUGCCGGGCUGAAGACCCUGCAUGACUAGCUGAGAGGAGGUGCAUGGCGUAGUCG